rnacentral:lncRNA from 1 species
CCCGCCGAGGCGGGCGGCCCGGCGCCUCUGGCGCGGCGCUGCGGGGUGCGCGGGGUCUCCGGGGCGGCCGAGCCCGGACUGCACCUGCCGUUACGCCGGCGGGACGCGGCUUCGUGGCCAGAGGCGGGGCGGCCCGGGGGAGGCACCGUGUGUGAGGACCCCUGGGCCUCGUGCUGAGGCCUGUGGCCUCCGUGACCCUGGGUCCUGCUCUGCGGGGGAAGCAGCUUCCUCCCACGGGCUUCCUGGCCCCACGGGUUGGGGGUCCUCUCCCGGCAAAGGGCGAGAGCAGGCGCUUCCCUGGGCCCCGUGUUUCUGUGCCCUUGUGCCGUCGGAGAGGCAGCGACAGCAAGCAGCUGUUCCAGCAACUUCCACAAGAGAGCAAAGGCUUUAAAGCUCCCUUAAAACCUCAUCCUGUUGAAGGCCCCAAAAGCUAAUCCAUACACCAGCUCAGCAGAGUCGAAUGUAAACACUGAUGAGGUUUUUGUCAGCAAAACUUCUGAAUUGGACUUGAAUUCAUACAUUUGGUUUCUAAAAAAUUAAUAUUUUUUCAAAAUAUGCCCUGGUAUAGCGUUCAAACUGUGACUAAAAACCUGUAGUAGCAUCUGUCCUGGGAGUGAAGUAUCUGAAAACUGAAGCACAGGGUUUGUGAAARUUUUAUUAAAUGAACCAAGGAAUGAGGAAAGAAAGGGGGAAGGGAGGAUUGUUCCUCUACUGCAUUAAUAUUUAUACCUGUUCUCGAGUUUGGGAGCUGUUCCAAUGCUGGGAAAUAUUUCUGUUCAUCCAUUCAGUUGCAUUUGGCUCAAAGCCAAGGUUUGAAUACAAUGGGAUAUUUCAUGUGCUUGAUCUGCGUGUUGAUAACAGGGGUUUGCAUGUAGAUCAAAAGAAUGAUACAACCCUGUAUUGUCAGAACUGUCUGCCAGAGCAUCCAGCAAAUGCUUAUUUGGAGGCCAGCGCUUGGCUCACUUCCAAAGACUUAAUUCUAACAAUCAACUCAAAAGAAGCCUGCAACCUAACACUUCUACCAUUGAUGCAUUUGUGCAUCCAGACCUACCUUUGA